rnacentral:rRNA from 1 species
UGGGGAAUCUUGGACAAUGGGGGCAACCCUGAUCCAGCCAUGCCGCGUGAGUGAUGAAGGCCUUAGGGUCGUAAAGCUCUUUCGCCUGUGAAGAUAAUGACGGUAGCAGGUAAAGAAACCCCGGCUAACUCCGUGCCAGCAGCCGCGGUAAUACGGAGGGGGUUAGCGUUGUUCGGAAUUACUGGGCGUAAAGCGCACGUAGGCGGAUCGGAAAGUUGGGGGUGAAAUCCCGGGGGCUCAACCCCGGAACUGCCUCCAAAACUAUCGGUCUAGAGUUCGAGAGAGGUGAGUGGAAUUCCGAGUGUAGAGGUGAAAUUCGUAGAUAUUCGGAGGAACACCAGUGGCGAAGGCGGCUCACUGGCUCGAUACUGACGCUGAGGUGCGAAAGUGUGGGGAGCAAACAGGAUUAGAUACCCUGGUAGUCCACGCCGUAAACGAUGGGUGCUAGGUGUUGGGUAGCUUGCUAUUCAGUGCCGUAGCUAACGCGUUAAGCACCCCGCCUGGGGAGUACGGUCGCAGAUUAAAACUCAAAUGAAUU